UUCAAUAUGGCAGAAAAAUGCAAUGGAACUAAGUUCCAGGCAUAAAGUUUCACCUUUUAUUGAAA
rnacentral:tRNA from 1 species